rnacentral:rRNA from 1 species
UACAGAGGGGGCAAGCGUUAUUCGGAAUUAUUGGGCGUAAAGGGCGCGUAGGCGGCCCUGGCAAGUGGAAGGUGAAAAUCCCCUCGGCUUAACCGAGGAACUGCCCUCCAAACUGCUUGGCUUGAGACCGGGAGAGGUGAGUGGAAUUCCCAGUGUAGCGGUGAAAUGCGUAGAUAUUGGGAGGAACACCAGUGGCGAAGGCGGCUCACUGGACCGGUACUGACGCUGAGGCGCGAAAGCGUG